rnacentral:rRNA from 1 species
AAGUCGUAACAAGGUUUCCGUAGGUGAACCUGCGNAAGGAUCAUUAUUGAAUACGUUGGUACUGUUGCUGGCUCUUCACUGAGCAUGUGCACGUCCAUCUAUUUAUCUUCUCUUGUGCACCUUUUGUAGUCUUUUUCUGAAAAAGAGCGAGCAGAGGCAAUCUGCUUUUGCUCUUUUUUCAGAGGGGCUACGUUUUCAUAUACACUAUUAAAGUUACAGAAUGUCUUUUAAAGAUUGUGCUAGCCGCAGUCAUUAAACCUAUACAACUUUCAGCAACGGAUCUCUUGGCUCUCCCAUCGAUGAAGAACGCAGCGAAAUGCGAUAAGUAAUGUGAAUUGCAGAAUUCAGUGAAUCAUCGAAUCUUUGAACGCACCUUGCGCCCUUUGGUAUUCCGAAGGGCAUGCCUGUUUGAGUGUCAUUAAAUUAUCAACCUUUUUGCUUUGCUUGCAAAGCAUCUAGGCUUGNAUGUGGGGGUUUUUGCUGGCUUCCUUCAGUGGAUGGUCUGCUCCCCUUAAAUGCAUUAGCGGGAUCUCUUGUGGACCGUCACUUGGUGUGAUAAUUAUCUAUACCACUUGGCCUUGAAGCAAAUCUUAUGAGGACCCCGCUCAUAACCGUCCCUCUGGGACAACUCUUGACAUUUUGACCUCAAAUCAGGUAGGACUACCCGCUGAACUUAAGCAUAUCAAUAAGCNGAGGAAAAGAAACUAACAAGGNUUNCCCUAGUAACUGCGAGUGAAGCGGGAAAAGCUCAAAUUUAAAAUCUGGCGGUCCCUGUGGCCGUCCGAGUUGUAAUUUAGAGAAGUGUUAUCCGCGCUGGACCGUGUACAAGUCUCCUGGAAUGGAGCGUCAUAGAGGGUGAGAAUCCCGUCUUUGACACGGACUGCCAGGGCAUUGUGAUGCGCUCUCGAAGAGUCGAGUUGUUUGGGAAUGCAGCUCAAAAUGGGUGGUAAAUUCCAUCUAAAGCUAAAUAUUGGGGAGAGACCGAUAGCGAACAAGUACCGUGAGGGAAAGAUGAAAAGAACUUUGGAAAGAGAGUUAAACAGUACGUGAAAUUGCUGAAAGGGAAACGCUUGAAGUCAGUCGCGUCGUUCAGGACUCAGCCUUGCUUUUGCUUGGUGUACUUCUUGUUCGACGGGUCAGCAUCAAUUUUGGUCGGUGGAUAAAGGCUCAGAGAAUGUGGCAUCUUCGGGUGUGUUAUAGCUCUGGGUCGCAUACAUCGGCUGGGAUUGAGGAACUCAGCACGCCGCAAGGCCGGGUACUUGUACCACGUACGUGCUUAGGAUGCUGGCAUAAUGGCUUUAAUCGACC